AGUCUUAUGUCUGGUGGAAUUGGAGUAGAUGGGAAAAAGAGAUCCUGGAUCGCUUUGCAAGGAGUUCACCUACCAUUGGCCUUUACUGGACAAGAAGCCAUUUGGCAAAAAGUUUUCAUGGUGGGGUGACCCAUUAUCACAGAACUUGUUGGAUCAACAGCUAAACUUGCAGUAACAGAUAUUGUCCUGGAUGUCAGAGCUAGGCAUAAUUCGAGUUCUUCCAUCCUUCUCUGGGAAUGUUCCAGAAGCAUUGAAGAAGAUACAUUCUUCACCUAAUAUAACUAGACUCGGGGACUGGCACAUUUGUGGUAUUCUACUCACGUGGUUAAUGCUGGGAAUCAUCCCAAGGAAAGUCUACCAUUUAGGUAUAAUCUCGGACCUCGUUAAGCUUUGCUGUUUAAAAUU